rnacentral:tRNA from 1 species
AAAUAAGAAACAAAUAGAUUUGUAAUUAGUUUCGACCUAAUCUUAGAUGUUAACUCAUCCUUAUUUU